rnacentral:hammerhead_ribozyme from 1 species
AUCCAGUUGAUGUGUCCCAAACAGGACGAAAUGCGCAGCCUGGAU